rnacentral:tRNA from 1 species
GCUUUAAUAAUUUAAAUAAAAAUAAUGGCCUUGUAAACCGAAAUUAAGAUUGACUAUCUUUUAAAGCU